UAGGCGCGCGGAGCCCAGACUGCGGUGCACGUUUUGGGGACCGCAGAUUAAGGGGGUCCCGGAGCGACUGUGUUACAGUUUAAGUGUCUUUUUACUUGCCAAAGGAAGACGACGAAGGAAACGAUCUCUGAGUGGCAAGUAGGUGUGUGACUGCAUCCUUGUCAGCACCCCAGGAGUGCACUGCAGUCUAAGCCAGCUCGCUGGGCAUUUGGUUGUUUGCAUGAAGCAUGGUCACCGCUGCUGAGGAAUCCUUUGGCUUGGGCUGAGUCGGUCCCUCCCGCGUCUUCAGUCCUUGCGGUGACAUCCACGUUGUUCCGCUCGUGAUAAAUGAAGGGCCUCUCGGGCUGUGCUCCUCACCUCAUAAUGAGAAUUACCAGCAGGCCUGGAUGGAUCCAAAGUAAUGUGAGCCUGCUGUCCUGCAAAUGUCUUUAA